GGCUCGGUAGCUCAGUCGGUAGAGCAGAGGACUGAAAACCCUCGUGUCGGCGGUUCGAUUCCUUCCCGAGCCACCA
rnacentral:tRNA from 1 species